CUACCCGGGUAUCUAAUCCUGUUUGCUCCCCACGCUUACGUGCAUGAGCGUCAGUGCUAGCCCAGGAGGCUGCCUUCGCCAUCGGUGUUCCUCCACAUCUCUACGCAUUUCACUGCUACACGUGGAAUUCCACCUCCCUCUGCCGCACUCCAGCCCGCCAGUCACAAACGCAGUUCCCAGGUUAAGCCCGGGGAUUUCACAUCUGUCUUAGCGAACCGCCUGCGCACGCUUUACGCCCAGUAAUUCCGAUUAACGCUCGCACCCUACGUAUUACCGCGGCUGCUGGCAC
rnacentral:rRNA from 1 species